UACCCCUAGCAAAUCUCAAAAAACCGUCUCAGUUCAGAUUGCACUCUGCAACUCGGGUGCAUGAAGUUGGAAUCGCUAGUAAUCGUGGAUCAGCAUGCCGGGGUGAAUACGUUCCCGGGCCUUGUACACACCGCCCGUCACAUCACGAAAGCCGGUUGUACCGGAAGUCGGUUCGCUAACCGCAAGGAGGCAACUGCCCAUGGUAUGGUCAGCGACUGGGGUGAAG
rnacentral:rRNA from 1 species